rfam:Salmo salar isolate Sally breed double haploid chromosome ssa12, whole genome shotgun sequence.
UCCCAUGUGACUCAGUUGCUAAAGUGUGGCGCUUGCAACGCUAGGGUUGUGGGUUUGAUUCCCAUGGGGGAC